UCUAUUUUGAAUUCCAUUUCCAGGUACAUGCUAUAACUUUGCCCACUUGUUUGCACAUUUGUAAGCUGGAGAGUUUGAACAUGAAUGAACAAGAAGAUUUGAAGUUGGCAUGGGUUUAAUUAUGCUAUUGAUUUACUCGUGUUUUUCUGGAUGUUAUACUCAAAAAUUAAAUGGAAGUUGCACUAUAUAUUUAGAUUUAGUUGUUGACAUUUGCUUUGAUUUUCACUUGGUAAUUGAAGAUUUGUUAAGAAAAAGG
rnacentral:lncRNA from 1 species